AACAGUCUCCAGAUGUACCUCAACAGUCUCCAGAUAUACCUAACGCGUCUCUGGCUGUACUUCAGGAGCCUCCAGAUGUAUCUCAGGCGUCUCCAGAUGUACCUAACCAGUCUCCAGAUGUAGAACAGGAUAUUGCUACUCCCAAGGAAACCAGAUCUGUGGGGUGUCAACGUUCCCUCCAGAAGCCACAGAGAAGGUCCCAUUAUACUCAGACCAAGUGGAAGACUUGUGAUAAAGAGGUACAGGCUGUCCCAAAGGUGAAAACUAGGGAGAUUGGCGUGAGUUGUAAUCUACUACCAGCUCCUCCUUUACAUGCUCAACCUAUAGAAGUUCCUGUCAACUAGUCAUUUGCCUCAGAGGAGACUGAAAGUGAGCAGGAUGAGCUGGAGGAAACUGACUAUUCCUUCGAGUCGACCGAGUCUGAUGAAACUGUGGAGAGUGACCUUGGGAGCGAUCGUGACAGGAAAUUCCUUGUUUAUGAGUGUCAGCUUAUGGAACUCUUUGCAAAUUGUCCCUCCUGUGCACAGCCAACAUAUGGGGAGAUCAAACAACUGAAGGGAUCCUUCAUCUCCAUCACUCAAGACUGCAGAUUUUGUUUCUACCAGCGGACUUGGAGUAGCCAGCCCCUAAUUGGUAGCAUUCCUGCGGGGAAUUUCGAAAUAUCCUGUGCAUUGCUGUUUUCAGGAUCUCUUCCAAGCAAAGCAGUCAGAAUGUUUAAGUUCUUGAACAUG